GACGAACGCUGGCGGCGUGCUUAACACAUGCAAGUCGAGCGGUAAGGCCCCUUCGGGGGUACACGAGCGGCGAACGGGUGAGUAACACGUGGGUGACCUGCCCUCAGCUCUGGGAUAAGCCUGGGAAACUGGGUCUAAUACUGGAUAUGACUCCACGGUGCAUGUCGUGGGGUGGAAAGCCUUGUGCGGCUGAGGAUGGGCCCGCGGCCUAUCAGCUUGUUGGUGGGGNGAUGGCCUACCAAGGCGACGACGGGUAGCCGGCCUGAGAGGGCGACCGGCCACACUGGGACUGAGACACGGCCCAGACUCCUACGGGAGGCAGCAGUGGGGAAUCUUGCGCAAUGGGCGAAAGCCUGACGCAGCGACGCCGCGUGAGGGAUGACGGCCUCGG
rnacentral:rRNA from 1 species